CACGUAGGGGGCAAGCGUUGUCCGGAUUUAUUGGGCGUAAAGAGCUCGUAGGCGGCUCGGUAAGUCGGGUGUGAAACCUCCAGGCUCAACCUGGAGACGCCACUCGAUACUGCCGUGGCUAGAGUCCGGUAGAGGAGCGUAGAAUUCCUGGUGUAGCGGUGAAAUGCGCAGAUAUCAGGAGGAAUACCAGCGGCGAAGGCGGCGCUCUGGGCCGGAACUGACGCUGAGGAGCGAAAGCGUGGGGAGCAAACAGG
rnacentral:rRNA from 1 species